UUGCUUGCUAACCCCUAAUUUAUACUAAAUUCACAUUCUUAUUGUCAAUGCCAGAGAGUGAUUAAGUGGUUUCUAAAUACCUUGAGUCAAUGGCUCUAACAUAACCGGUUUUUGAUCAAUUUUUCUAAUAUGAACUAAAUACAUCACUGCCUCCCUUUAAAAAUAUUGUUUAUACAGAAAAAAAUUUUAAAGAAAAUUUAAAUCACAUACUAUCUAACAUUAAUCACUUUUACAAUUUUGAUGAACAGUCUUCAAGUCUUUUAUAUUUUAAUAUUUAAACAUUUAAUUUUUAACAAAGAUAAGAGUACUGGGUAGGAUAUGCCUGAUUACACUAUGGUAGCAAAUUACCCCCCACCAAAUCCCAGCAGCCUAACUCAACUAAGGCUUAUUUCCUACUUGCCCAUCAUAGGUCACCAGGAACCUUUGUCCAUCAACGAACCCGGGCUCAUCAAGAAACUCCACCAUUCUCUAUUUAUACUUAGAACAUAUGAGUUCUUCAGUCACCUUGGAAGAAGAAGCAACAGCUGGAGGCUAUUACAUCACAUCUUCUCUACUUUAGCCCAGAAGUGGCACAUAACUUUUAUCCACAGCCCACAGUCUAGAACAAGUUACAUACCUACAGGUAGAAGGAUAGGAAUGUCAAGGACAUAAAGUAGAAUGUUUGGUAACCACCACUCUCUGUGUCACAUUAAAAAUCACACACUAUAGGGGACAUUCUUGGCUGUCCAGUGGUUGGGACUCAUGCUUCCAUUGCAGAGGGCACGGGUUCAAUCCUUGGUCAGGAAACUAAAAUCCCUCUUGGAAUGGCAGAAAAAAAAAAUCACACUCUAUACAUAACGUUAUUCCUCUCUUUGUGCUUAAAAUUAUAAGCAUUUUUGCACAUCCUUAAAUCUCUUCAUAAACACAUAAAUAUGACCCUCUGUUAUUUAGUCAUUGUUUUACUAUUAUCAAUAUUGCUGUGUGCCUGGCAAUUUCCUAAGUACUUUAUGGGCAAUGUUUUCAUUCAAUUCUCACAACUACUCUAUGAGGAAGAUACAAUAGUAUAACCACUUUAUGGUUCUGAAAAUGGAGGCCUAAUGAGUAAAUUUUCCAAGGACACACAAUAAGUAAGUGGCAGAUCUGAGACUCUCACAGAGAACUGUCAGACGUUCAAGCCCAUGCUCUUAACCAAUGAGUGUAAACUAAAGAACUGCGGUCCAAGUGUAAAACACAACACUGCUGCACUGGGUUACUGACCAGAAAGUGCAACAUCACAGGGGUAGGAAAGGAUUCAUCAGACCAUAAGGAACUGUUGUUACAGGUUAACUUACAAACAAUAGAAACAAUGACAGAUGAAAAUUCGAACCCAACAGAAGAUUGAUCAAAUUUUCGAAUUCUUUUUGUUUCCCUGUGAAGUAUUUCAAAAGAUGACUGGCCUCUUUGAACUCAUUAAGGUCUCUAGAUUCUUAGAUUAUGUUGGAAGGAGGGGAAGACCUAGAGAUAUAAUGGACUCCAUGUACUCUGGAAAUCUGAUGCAUAGGGAGAUUUCAAGUGAAAAAAAAAUCUGAAGAGUAAACAUGAGAAUCUCCUAAGAACCUCCUGUGUUCUCUAAUUAAAGCAAGAACUGACAUGUAUAGGCUCCUGCUGUAGAUGUACCAUUCUUCAUCUAUUCAUGUCUUGUCAUACUAAUUCUACAAAGUAUAGUACUCACUAUGUAUUAUCCAUAUCUUAAAAUUCUUAAUGAACUAAGUAAGUUAUAUUUUAAAAACACUAACAAUACAGUAAUUAAAUAUCAUCAUCACAACUAGGUAUUAAGAUGGCAGAGGUUCGUGACAUUCUACACGAUAUAGGGAUCAAGACCAUCCCCAAGAAAAAGAAAUGCAAAGAAGCAAAAUGGC
ensembl:lncRNA